UACGUAGGGGGCAAGCGUUGUCCGGAAUUAUUGGGCGUAAAGGGCACGCAGGCGGUCUUCUAAGUCUGAUGUGAAAUCCCACGGCUUAACCGUGGAGGGUCAUUGGAAACUGGAGGACUUGAGUGCAGAAGAGGAGAGUGGAAUUCCACGUGGAGCGGUGAAAUGCGUAGAUAUGUGGAGGAACACCAGUGGCGAAGGCGACUCACUGGCCCGGUAACUGACGCUGAGGUGCGAAAGCGUGGGGAGCAAACAGG
rnacentral:rRNA from 1 species